rnacentral:rRNA from 1 species
GACGAACGCUGGCGGCGUGCCUAAUACAUGCAAGUCGAACGAGAAAUUCUUACACCGGAUGCUUGCAUCCACCGUAAGAUUUCGAGUGGCGGACGGGUGAGUAACACGUGAGCAACCUGCCCCUGACUCUGGGAUAAGCGCUGGAAACGGUGUCUAAUACUGGAUAUGUACCACGAUCGCAUGGUCUGUGGUUGGAAAGAUUUUUCGGUUGGGGAUGGGCUCGCGGCCUAUCAGCUUGUUGGUGAGGUAAUGGCUCACCAAGGCGUCGACGGGUAGCCGGCCUGAGAGGGUGACCGGCCACACUGGGACUGAGACACGGCCCAGACUCCUACGGGAGGCAGCAGUGGGGAAUAUUGCACAAUGGGCGCAAGCCUGAUGCAGCAACGCCGCGUGAGGGAUGACGGCCUUCGGGUUGUAAACCUCUUUUAGCAGGGAAGAAGCGAGAGUGACGGUACCUGCAGAAAAAGCGCCGGCUAACUACGUGCCAGCAGCCGCGGUAACAC